ACAUCACUCUCCUGUGCAACGGCUUCAAAGCCACAUGGGAACACUCCUUUCCUUCUGCACCUUCUCCUUUCCCUUCCCCCACUUUCACUCUCCCUUUUCCCAAGAUCUCAGUGGCUGGAAAUCCCUUUAUUCCUUUCCUCUCGGGCAAAUGUCUCAGGGCCCUUACUCCACAUACUUCCCCGCAGGCAAACUUUCUGUUGCUGGAUGCUGUACAUCAGCAGUGAAAUCCUAGGGUUCAGAGGGGAGCCUGGAGCAGAGGUCAGAGCAGCUGAGAAUGAGCAGGGUUUGGAAGCCAGCAGAAAAAGUGUGAAGCAGGAUACCCUUUUUACAAAUUCACUAUAGCAGUAGUUUUGCAUAUUAUUGAGCAAUAGCAGCCAGUCCACAGCCUGCAAAUGAAUUUCUUGGUUACUUUCUCAUUCCCUUUUUAGAAAAUACAAUGGUGUCUUUUUGGGCUUGGUAUACAGCUUGGAUGGAAUGAGAAAAUU